rnacentral:rRNA from 1 species
UACGGAGGUGCAAGCGUUAUCCGGAUUCACUGGGUUAAAGGGUGCGUAGGAGGACAGGGAAGUCCGUGGUGAAAUCCUAGAGCUUAACUCUAGAACUGCCGUGGAUACUCUCUGUCUUGAAUCCCGUGGAGAUGAGCGGAAUAUGUCAUGGUAGCGGUGAAAUGCUUAGAUAUGACAUAGAACACCAAUUGCGAAGGCAGCUCGUUACACGAAGAUUGACUCUGAGGCACGAAAGCGUGGGAUCAAACAGG